rnacentral:rRNA from 1 species
GGGCGUAAAGAGCUCGUAGGUGGUUUGUUACGUCGGUUGUGAAAUUCAGGGGCUCAACCCCUGACUUGCAGCCGAUACGGGCAAGCUAGAGUUUGGUAGGGGAGACUGGAAUUCCUGGUGUAGCGGUGGAAUGCGCAGAUAUCAGGAGGAACACCGAUGGCGAAGGCAGGUCUCUGGGCCAAUACUGACACUGAGGAGCGAAAGCGUGGGGAGCGAACAGGAUUAGAUACCCUGGUAGUCCACGCCGUAAACGGUGGGCGCUAGUUGUGCGAACCUUCCACGGUUUGUGCGACGCAGCUAACGCAUUAAGCGCCCCGCCUGGGGAGUACGAUCGCAAGAUUAAAACUCAAAGGAAUUGACGGGGCCCCGCACAAGCAGCGGAGCAUGCGGCUUAAUUCGACGCAACGCGAAGAACCUUACCAAGGCUUGACAUAUACAGGAAUAUGGCAGAGAUGUCAUAGCCGCAAGGUCUGUAUACAGGUGGUGCAUGGUUGUCGUCAGCUCGUGUCGUGAGAUGUUGGGUUAAGUCCCGCAACGAGCGCAACCCUCGUUCUGUGUUGCCAGCAUUUAGUUGGGGACUCACAGGAGACUGCCGGGGUUAACUCGGAGGAAGGUGGGGAUGACGUCAAAUCAUCAUGCCUCUUAUGUCUUGGGCUGCACGCAUGCUACAAUGGCUGGUACAAACGGCUGCGAUACCGCAAGGUGGAGCGAAUCCGAUA